UGGGGAAUUUUGGGCAAUGGGGGGAAACCCUGACCCAGCAACGCCGCGUGAAGGAUGAAGUAUUUCGGUAUGUAAACUUCGAAAGAAUAGGAAGAAUAAAUGACGGUACUAUUUUAUAAGGUCCGGCUAACUACGUGCCAGCAGCCGCGGUAAUACGUAGGGACCAAGCGUUGUUCGGAUUUACUGGGCGUAAAGGGCGCGUAGGCGGCAUGACAAGUCACUUGUGAAAUCUCUGGACUUAACCCAGAACGGCCAAGUGAUACUGUCGCGCUAGAGUGCAGAAGGGGCAAUCGGAAUUCUUGGUGUAGCGGUGAAAUGCGUAGAUAUCAAGAGGAACACCUGAGGUGAAGACGGGUUGCUGGGCUGACACUGACGCUGAGGCGCGAAAGCCAGGGGAGCAAACGGGAUUAGAUACCCUUGUAGUCCCUGAGCGGGCUGGCAAGGCGCAU
rnacentral:rRNA from 1 species